GACGAACGCUGGCGGCGUGCCUAACACAUGCAGGUCGAGCGAUGAAGCUCCUUCGGGAGUGGAUUAGCGGCGGACGGGUGAGUAACACGUGGGUAACCUGCCUCAUAGAGAGGGAUAGCCUUCCGAAAGGAAGAUUAAUACCUCAUAAGAUUGUAGUUUCGCAUGAAACGGCAAUAAAAGGAGCAAUCCGCUAUGAGAUGGACCCGCGCCGCAUUAGCUAGUUGGUAAGGUAAUGGCUUACCAAGGCGACGAUGCGUAGCCGACCUGAGAGGGUGAUCGGCCACAUUGGGACUGAGACACGGCCCAGACUCCUACGGGAGGCAGCAGUGGGGAAUAUUGCACAAUGGGGGAAACCCUGAUGCAGCAACGCCGCGUGAGUGAUGACGGUCUUCGGAUUGUAAAACUCUGUCUUUGGGGACGAUAAUGACGGUACCCAAGGAGGAAGCCACGGCUAACUACGUGCCAGCCGCCGCCGUAAGAC
rnacentral:rRNA from 1 species